rnacentral:lncRNA from 1 species
UUCUCCUAGGAUUGGCAAACACAAAUCAUGUUCCAAGUUCUGCCUUCCACCUGAGUGAAAUACAUCACCGCUUUCCCUGCUCCCGCCGCCAUUAAAAUUGUGUUUGGCAUCUGACCACCAAGAUACAGAUAUUUCCUAGACUGUUUUGCAGCUAGGUACUUAGAAGUUUUUCUAAGUUAUUUAAACUUCUCACCACACAAAAUCUGGAUUUGUAUCUGUCACGUAGUAAUUGCUUGAUAAAUCAUUUCUCUUUCCUCUGGAGAAAAAUAUCUGCUUUCUUUAAAAUAAAUGUUCCAUCCAUGCAGCUAAGCAGCUAAGGACACGAACAGCCACUGAUACAGGCCAACUCAUCAGUAGAUUAUUGAGGAAUCAUUCUCUUCAGUCAGAUCACGAUUUGAGUUUGAACUAACCAGAGAGUAGCAGAAGGAACGUUUUCUCAUUUCCAUGUCCAGAAAGAUAUAUUCCUGCUACCCUCCUGAAGUCAGAGGAUGAAAUCAUAGUCAAUACAUCUUUGCAGAUAAACUAUUAGAUUUCAUACUAGGACCUUUCAUUGGCUGAACAAAGACAAAGACAGAAAUCAAGGAAGGUCAAAGAAGCAGUCAGUUUUCUGGCACCCAAAGUUGUUGGAGAAGGGUACAGAGUCGGUAAAUAAGUCAUAUGACAGACAGGCAGUAUUUUCUUAUUUUAAUAACAAGUUUAAAAAUCCCACUUCUUGUACUUACCUUCUGUCUGACGUCAUCAGUAUUUUAAAAUGCCAACUGGGAUCAAGUUCAACACUGCAUUACUGAAGAAUCCAGAUUAUCUACAUUUCAAGUGCCAAAUGAAAGAAAGAACCCAGAAAAUAAAACAAUAUGAUGAUAACAGUAAAAUUUUUUAAAAUGAAAUUUAUGGUCUAAAUCCUGAUCAUUAAUGGUUAUUUCAUAUUGAAGCAAUGAGG